rnacentral:rRNA from 1 species
UACAGAGGGUGCGAGCGUUGUCCGGAAUCACUGGGCGUAAAGGGCGCGUAGGCGGCCUUCUAAGUCGGACGUGAAAUCCCUCGGCUUAACCGAGGAACUGCGUCCGAUACUGAAAGGCUUGAAUCCGGGAGAGGGAUGUGGAAUUCCAGGUGUAGCGGUGAAAUGCGUAGAUAUCUGGAGGAACACCGGUGGCGAAGGCGGCAUCCUGGACCGGUAUUGACGCUGAGGCGCGAAAGCUAGGGGAGCAAACGGG